CUGCCCCCCGCCUAGGUCCUUUUGUUUCCCGGAGCGCAGCCUUGUCUUCAGGCAGCGGGGAAGAGUCCACUCCAUGUCCAAGUUUCCAGAUGCUGGCGCUCUCUACGGACAUCUCCUCCACUCUUUGAUUCAUCAGAGCGAUCAGCAUGUUCAGCAUCAAAAUAGAACCCAAUGAGGAAGACCAUGUACACGACAAGGAAUCGACGGAUUUCUCCAAGAACCAUCUGACAACAAUUAAAGAGUGUGAGAGUGUAUCGUACAAACAUGAAGUAAAGUCUGAAUUGUAAGGACUAGUCUACAUUACAAUGAAGCAUUAAAUGUGUUGCAUAGCAUUUUUUUA